GAGUAGUCCUGGUGAAAUUAGAAAUUGGUCUAUGCGUGAAUACGAAGCAUGUGGGUGUGAGUAGAAGGUAAAGUCCUUCUCGGUUGGGUGCUGGGCUCUCCAAAUAUCUAUUAAUGGUUGGGUAGCUAGAAAGUUGGCAAAGAGGGUGUCAUUUCUAUUCGGUUGUGUUCUGGUUUGGUGUUGUCGAUCGACUGCCGGGGUG